CUGGUUGACAAGCACAUGAGACCCACAAAUGAUGCCAACUCAGAGUAGUGCAAAACCAAGAGACAAAGAGAGACCAACUUCUGGCAAAGUUAUUGGGAAAUCCAGUGUCCCCUCUAGUUAUCAUCAGUUAAGUUGGUGGAGCCUAGGGGAUGCUCCCAAGUGAUGCUUCUAGUUUCCAGGAGAAACUUCCAGCUCCCAGGAGAUGCUUCCGGUUUCCAGAUAUUCUGUUGAUGGCUCAAAAACAAUAGGGGUUAAUGGAAGGAUCCCUGAUGCUGUUAUCACCCAGCUAUCGUACCUUGGGCAAAUGACUUGAUCUCUUUGUGUUUUACCUAAUGGUAGUAAUAGUUCAUACUUACUGGGUCAUAUUGUGAUCCAGCCUCGGGGUUACUUUUACUUUCAUGGGCUCACUUAAUCAUGCCAAAAACCCUAUAAAGUUGCUUUUCCUAUUUAUUCAUUUUAUUUCAGAUGGGGAAAGAGAGGCUUAUAGAAAUAAGAUGUGAUGUGUUCAACACACAGCUCCUGAGUAAAAGUCAGACUCAGAAUCUAAAUCUCCUUGACCUCCAAGUCUGUGCUCCUAACCAUGUUGUCAUGUGACUUUAUCUUCAUCUAUAGAAAGGAACAACAGCAACAACAACAAAAACCCAAUGCAAACAGUAUGGAAAGUGAUCCUUAUUUCAUGAAGAUCAGUAAAGUCAAACAGCGAGCCACAGUUAUGAUCAUCAUGGCAACUCUCCUAUGUAUGAACGUAAUGAGAUUACAAAGCAGUGAUGCUUGCACAAUUUCAUUUGGACCUCCUGACAGGCGUGUGGAAAGAACAGGGACGGGAUCAGUAUCAGGAUCAGGCAGCCAAAGAAAUGGGCCCGGAGUAAGCGCUCUGUCUACAACAAGAAAGUGA
rnacentral:lncRNA from 1 species